rnacentral:rRNA from 1 species
UCGAGCGGUAACAGGGGUAGCUUGCUACCCGCUGACGAGCGGCGGACGGGUGAGUAAUGCAUAGGAAUCUGCCCGAUAGUGGGGGAUAACCUGGGGAAACCCAGGCUAAUACCGCAUACGUCCUACGGGAGAAAGGGGGCUCCGGCUCCCGCUAUCGGAUGAGCCUAUGUCGGAUUAGCUAUUUGGUGAGGUAAAGGCUCACCAAGGCGACGAUCCGUAGCUGGUCUGAGAGGAUGAUCAGCCACAUCGGGACUGAGACACGGCCCGAACUCCUACGGGAGGCAGCAGUGGGGAAUAUUGGACAAUGGGGGGAACCCUGAUCCAGCCAUGCCGCGUGUGUGAAGAAGGCCCUCGGGUUGUAAAGCACUUUCAGUGAGGAAGAACGCCUGGUGGUUAAUACCCAUAAAGAAAGACAUCACUCACAGAACAAGCACCGGCUAACUCCGUGCCAGCAGCCGCGGUAAUACGGAGGGUGCGAGCGUUAAUCGGAAUUACUGUGCGUAAAGCGCGCGUAGGUGGCUUGAUAAGCCGGUUGUGAAAGCCCCGGGCUCAACCUGGGAACGGCAUCCGGAACUGUCAAGCUAGAGUGCUGAGAGGAAGGUAGAAUUCCCGGUGUAGCGGUGAAAUGCGUAGAGAUCGGGAGGAAUACUAGUGGCGAAGGCGGCUUUCUGGACUGACACUGACACUGAGGUGCGAAAGCGUGGGUAGCAAACAGGAUUAGAUACCCUGGUAGUCACGC